rnacentral:rRNA from 1 species
GACAGCCAGGAUGUUGGCUUAGAAGCAGCCAUCAUUUAAAGAAAGCGUAAUAGCUCACUGGUCGAGUCGGCCUGCGCGGAAGAUGUAACGGGGCUAAACCAUGCACCGAAGCUGCGGCAGCGACACUGUGUGUUGUUGGGUAGGGGAGCGUUCUGUAAGCCUGUGAAGGUGUGCUGUGAGGCAUGCUGGAGGUAUCAGAAGUGCGAAUGCUGACAUAAGUAACGAUAAAGCGGGUGAAAAGCCCGCUCGCCGGAAGACCAAGGGUUCCUGUCCAACGUUAAUCGGGGCAGGGUGAGUCGACCCCUAAGG